rfam:Aspergillus zonatus CBS 506.65 unplaced genomic scaffold ASPZOscaffold_1, whole genome shotgun sequence.
GACACUUUGGCCGAGUGGUUAAGGCGCUGGCCUGCUAUUAGUUCCCCCUAAAGUGAGCCAGUGGGUUCGCCCGCCAGGGUUCGAAUCCCUGAGGUGUCG